GCUACCACAUCUAAGGAAGGCAGCAGGCACGCAAAUUACCCACUCCCAGUUCGGGGAGGUAGUGACGAAAAAUACUGAUGCGGGACUCGUUCCGAGGCCUCGCCAUCAGAUUGAGCUCAGUCUAAACCAUUGGACAAGUUUCGACUGGAGGGCAAGUCUGGUGCCAGCAGCCGCGGUAAUUCCAGCUCCAGUAGCGUAUGCUAAAGUUGCUGCGGUUAAAAAGCUCAUAGUUGGAUCUCACGGCCGGAACGGCGGCCCACUAAAGGUUUCGACCAGCGCCGAGGCUAGUCGGUGUACUCGUUACGCUUGGCUUCCGCGGUUUGCUUGCGUCUGCCUGGUGGUCAACUGUCCGUCUCCGGCUCGAGACUCCCGCUGGUUCGCGAGGGAUGCCUUGUCUUGUACGGGUGUCCCGAGUGACCGGCACGUUCACUUUGAAUAAAUUAGAGUGCUCAAAGCAGGCAAAGUCUUAUGCCUGAAUGAUGGUGCAUGGAAUGAUGGAACAGGACCUCGGUUCUGCUCUUUGGUCGAUUUUUUGGAAUCGAGGUAAUGAUUAAAAGAAACAGACGGGGGCAUUCGUAUUGCGACGCUAGAGGUGAAAUUCUUGGACCGUCGCAAGACGAACUACUGCGAAAGCAUUUGCCAAGAAUGUUUUCCUUAAUCAAGAACGAAAGUUAGAGGAUCGAAGGCGAUCAGAUACCGCCCUAGUUCUAACCAUAAACGAUGCUACCUGGCGAUCCGUCGGCGUCAUACCCACGACUCGACGGGGAGCCUCCGGGAAACCAAAGGCUUUGGGUUCCGGGGGAAGUAUGGUUGCAAAGCUGAAACUUAAAGGAAUUGACGGAAGGGCACCACCAGGAGUGGAGCCUGCGGCUUAAUUUGACUCAACACGGGGAAACUUACCAGGUCCAGACACCGAAAGGAUUGACAGAUUGAGAGCUCUUUCUCGAUACNGUGGUUGGUGGUGCAUG
rnacentral:rRNA from 1 species